GGAUUAGAUACCCUGGUAGUCCACGCCGUAAACGAUGGAUACUAGCUGUGGGGUUUUCGGACUCUGUGGCCAAGCGAAAGUGAUAAGUAUCCCACCUGGGGAGUACGUUCGCAAGAAUGAAACUCAAAGGAAUUGACGGGGGCCCGCACAAGCGGUGGAGCAUGUGGUUUAAUUCGAUGAUACGCGAGGAACCUUACCAGGGCUUAAAUGCAGUAUGACAGAUUCAGAGAUGGAUUUUUCUUCGGACAUAUUGCAAGGUGCUGCAUGGUUGUCGUCAGCUCGUGCCG
rnacentral:rRNA from 1 species